GUAUAUGUAUAUAUAUAUAUUUAUUAUAUUAAUAAAUUUUGAAACUUAUUAUUUUUUAUAAUUUCAGCAAAUUUCCGAGAUAAAUACCGCGAACCGAGCGAAUCAAAUGACACAUCACGCUGGUUCAAAAGGAUUAGCGCAAAGACGUCAUGAAUUGGUAAUUUUUUUAUAAUUUAUAUCUAUUUUUUUAUAUAUUAAUGAAUUAUAUGAAUAUAGAUACAACAAGGAAGGAGUGAAGUCGAAGCUUGGUCAGAGACUUUACAAAUAACAUAUAAGAGAAACGAUAAAGUUGUAAGUAUUUUUUUAAAAUUAUUUAUAUUUUAUAAUUUCUAUUAUUAUUGUUUGAUUUUGUUAUUCUUUCAGCUUGAAGCCACGGAAUUUAUCAAAAGUCCAGAGGCAAAAUCGUGAGCUGAAUCUGAAUCAAUGACUCCAUUUGUAAGUUCCAUUGAUUAUUUUAAUUAUAUUUCGUAUUUCUUUUUUUUUUUUUUUAUAAUGCAGCAAUUUAUCGAAGCGACGGUCUACAAGACUUUCGAAAAAAAUAAGAAGAAUCGAAUAAUAGGAAUUGGAGAAGCUGCCAGUAUGGUGAGCACAACAAACGAAAGAUGGGCUUCUCCAAAUUGGAAAGGAAAAGAGUCGAUCUCAGAAAGCACGACUGUUGAUGCAACACCAGAUGCAGUUUGGUCGAAAAAAUUCAAAGCAUUGGAGGUAUUUACAAUAUAUUUCAAUAAUUUUGUUGAUUACCGAACUCAUUUUUGUUUUCAUUUUCAGAACAAGUGUAACGAGAGUCAAAAAGACGUCUUCAAAUACAAAAAGAAGUUCAAUGCUAUGAAAUCAUAUAUGAAGAAACUGAACAAGACUUUGAAGACUUCUGGACUCGACAUGACGCAGAUGGCUUCUACUUCAAAGUCCACAAUACCGUCUGCAUUCGGAUCAGAUAUUUCUGAUUCUGAUU
rnacentral:lncRNA from 1 species